UUCAGGGUUCACAUCUGCAGUUUUAUUACCAGAGUGAAAGCAACAUGAAUCUUCAUUUUGGGGUGGGUUUUUUGUUGUUGUUUGUUUGGGGUUUUUUGUGUGUAUGUGUUUAGUUUUCUUCUAAUAAAAGACUUUUAGACCUUUCAAACAUUCUUUUUUUUUAUUUUUUUAACUUACUGUCCACAUCUCUAUAUGAACCAUUACUGCCUGGCGUCUGGAAAGUUCAAAUGUCUGCCACCUGUCAUAGCAUCCAUCAGUCAUCACUUUCUCUGUCAGAGCUUCAUUGGUUCUAAAUGAGUAUAGCCAAGAUGGGAGUCAUAGUUCCUACCUUCACAUACACAUGUACACAUCUGAACUAGGCCAGAGGCCCCAUAUAAUCUGUAGAGAGAAAUGGGUACAAGGCCACAAAUCAUCCAACCACCUGGUCUUGGCAAUUCUGAUCAUCUUCUUCCACUAUGAAGGGAGCCCCAAAGGACCCAAAGAACAAAGGUGUGCCAGAUCUUCCAUGGGUCCCAACAUGCCUCAUGGCCAGAUAAGAGCAGCCUACUUUGUGAGAUAGUGGGUUCAUCUGGCCUAAUACCUGUCCUCCAACAGCUGCUGAUGGAAGAAAUUGAGCAAUGUCCUUCUUCCGGACUGUGGAAGAGAGGCCUUCUUGUCUAAAAGUGGUGAUUUUGCAUGUAGUCACCCCAGUAUGUUCUUCUCCCAUGUAUUCAUCUUUUUUUCCCCCAACAUUUGCAAUCUUUCAGCAACCAUAAGGCUGAACUUUGUGAUCUGCUCUUGUAGGCAAAGAAAUCUCUUCCCCCCCUCCCCCCCACAAUUUUAUUGCGUGUUUCCAUUUACCCUUAAACAGAAGAAUAGGUUUGCUUUCUGUGGUAAAUAACUAGAUCUACUUACAUGGGCAGCUGUGGGAGGAUUUGUGCCCAUGAGCCUAUGCAUGGAGGCCAUCAGCGUGGGAAAUGAGGAAGUGAAAGUGACCAAACACUGGUUAUGUUGCUGGGCUCCAAGCUGUUGAAAACCUCUGUAUUUUGUCCAUACAUCAAAUAUGUGCACUUUGUUUGUAGACCAGGAACUGAUCCCCUAAAAACAUAGUAAGUCAAAUAUAGUGUCUGUUUUGUUUUCUAUCUUAAAUUAAACCUUUAUUUCCUUGCCAGAGCGAUGUUGUUUCUUUGUUCCAU
ensembl:lncRNA